rnacentral:pre_miRNA from 1 species
UUAACUCAAAUUUGUAUGAAGUUGGAACGUUUGCCGCUAGGGGCGCUCUUCCAACUCUUUACUAAUUUGAGUUG